UACGAAGGGGGCUAGCGUUGCUCGGAAUCACUGGGCGUAAAGCGCACGUAGGCGGAUUGCUAAGUCAGGGGUGAAAUCCUGGAGCUCAACUCCAGAACUGCCUUUGAUACUGGCGACCUUGAGUCCGGGAGAGGUGAGUGGAACUGCGAGUGUAGAGGUGAAAUUCGUAGAUAUUCGCAAGAACACCAGUGGCGAAGGCGGCUCACUGGACCGUUGUUGACGCUGAGGUGCGAAAGCGUGGGGAGCAAACAGG
rnacentral:rRNA from 1 species